rnacentral:rRNA from 1 species
AGCGAACGCUGGCGGCAGGCUUAACACAUGCAAGUCGAGCGCCCCGCAAGGGGAGCGGCAGACGGGAGAGAAACACGUGGGAACAUACCUUUUGGUUCGGAACAACUGAGGGAAACUUCAGCUAAUACCGGAUAAGCCCUAACGGGGAAAGAUUUAUCGCCGAAAGAUUGGCCCGCGUCUGAUUAGCUAGUUGGUGAGGUAAAGGCUCACCAAGGCGACGAUCAGUAGCUGGUCUGAGAGGAUGAUCAGCCUCAUUGGGACUUAGACACGGCCCAAACUCCUACGUGAGGCAGCAUUGGGGAAUAUUGGACAAUGUGCGCAAGCCUGAUCCAGCCAUGCCGCGUGAGUGAUGAAGGCCUUAGGGUUGUAAAGCUCUUUUGCCCGGGAAGAUAAUGACGGUACCGGGAGAAUAAGCCCCGGCUAACUUCGUGCCAGCCGCCGCAGUAA